rnacentral:rRNA from 1 species
GACGAACGCUGGCGGCGUGCUUAACACAUGCAAGUCGAACGGAAAGGCCCUGCUUUUGUGGGGUGCUCGAGUGGCGAACGGGUGAGUAACACGUGAGUAACCUGCCCUUGACUUUGGGAUAACUUCAGGAAACUGGGGCUAAUACCGGAUAGGAGCUCCUGCUGCAUGGUGGGGGUUGGAAAGUUUCGGCGGUUGGGGAUGGACUCGCGGCUUAUCAGCUUGUUGGUGGGGUAGUGGCUUACCAAGGCUUUGACGGGUAGCCGGCCUGAGAGGGUGACCGGCCACAUUGGGCCUGAGAUACGGCCCAGACGCCUACGGGAGGCAGCAGUGGGGAAUAUUGCACAAUGGGCGGAAGCCUGAGGCAGCAACGCCGCGUGCGGGAUGACGGCCUUCGGGUUGUAAACCGCUUUCGCCUGUGACGAAGCGUGAGUGACGGUAAUGGGUAAAGAAGCACCGGCUAACUACGUG